GAAGGUAUAGCUUAGUGGUAGAGUGCAUGCUUAGCAUGAAGGACGUCCUGGGUUCAAUCCCCAGUACCUCCA
rnacentral:tRNA from 1 species